UACAGAGGUCUCAAGCGUUGUUCGGAUUCAUUGGGCGUAAAGGGUGCGUAGGCGGCGCGGUAAGUCGGGUGUGAAAUCUCGGGCCUUAACUCCGAAACUGCAUUCGAUACUGCCGUGCUUGAGGACUGGAGAGGAGACUGGAAUUUACGGUGUAGCAGUGAAAUGCGUAGAUAUCGUAAGGAAGACCAGUGGCGAAGGCGGGUCUCUGGACAGUUCCUGACGCUGAGACACGAAGGCCAGGGGAGCAAACGGG
rnacentral:rRNA from 1 species